rnacentral:rRNA from 1 species
UACGUAGGGGGCAAGCGUUAUCCGGAUUCACUGGGUGUAAAGGGAGCGUAGACGGCCAUGCAAGCCUGGAGUGAAAGCCCGGGGCCCAACCCCGGGACUGCAUUUGGAACUGUAUGGCUGGAGUGUCGGAGAGGCAGGCGGAAUUCCUAGUGUAGCGGUGAAAUGCGUAGAUAUUAGGAGGAACACCAGUGGCGAAGGCGGCCUGCUGGACGAUGACUGACGUUGAGGCUCGAAAGCGUGGGGAGCAAACAGG